rnacentral:rRNA from 1 species
UACGUAGGGUGCGAGCGCUGUCCGGAAUUAUUGGGCGUAAAGGGCUCGUAGGCGGUUUGUCGCGUCGGGAGUGAAAUCCACUGGCUUAACUGGUGGCUUGCUUUCGAUACGGGCAGACUGGAGGUAUGCAGGGGAGAACGGAAUUCCUGGUGUAGCGGUGAAAUGCGCAGAUAUCUGGAGGAACACCGGUGGCGAAGGCGGCAUCCUGGACCGGCAUUGACGCUGAGGAGCGAAAGCCAGGGGAGCAAACGGG